rnacentral:rRNA from 1 species
CCUACGGGUGGCUGCAGUGGGGAAUAUUGCACAAUGGGGGAAACCCUGAUGCAGCGACGCCGCGUGAGUGAAGAAGUAUUUCGGUACGUAAAGCUCUAUCAGCAGGGAAGAAAAACCGGCCUUAGGGCCGCCAGACGGUACCUGACUAAGAAGCCCCGGCUAACUACGUGCCAGCAGCCGCGGUAAUACGUAGGGGGCAAGCGUUAUCCGGAUUUACUGGGUGUAAAGGGAGCGUAGACGGCAGCGCAAGUCUGGAGUGAAAUGCCGGGGCCCAACCCCGGAACUGCUUUGGAAACUGUGCAGCUGGAGUGCAGGAGAGGUAAGCGGAAUUCCUAGUGUAGCGGUGAAAUGCGUAGAUAUUAGGAGGAACACCAGUGGCGAAGGCAGCAUACCGGCGGCGAUCUGACGCUGAGGCACGAAAGCGUGGGUAUCGAACAGGAUUAGAUACCCCUGUAGUC